CUGCUAUCUAACAUGCUGGUUUUCCUUCUGAAUCUAUCCCGUUAACAUUUGCCUUCAUUUAAACUGUAAAAUCAAAUUCUCACUUCCUAGAGCCAAAAGCUGAAGCCCAUUAAUACUCUGAGUGAGCUUCAACCCAUAGUUUGAUAAUUGAAUUAACUUAAAAAGAAACGGGAUAAAUGAACUUGAAAUAACCUUUGAAGUGAUCCCCCUGGAAGGAACAGAGUGUUCCCUGUGAAAAGGCACUGAAGUCAGUUCAUGUUCUGCACACUUUUGGCUUCCCACUUCCCACAGGAGCACAUCAGAAGACAAGGAAAACCAAAGUUUCAGAAUUGAAAGGGAGGUCAGCAGAGAGCUGCCAAUAACACAGAACAACCAAGAAGACAAAGAAAUUCUCUGCUGUGGCUAAAGAAGCAAUUUUAAUUCCUUUCCUUUCUGUAGAACAGGAUAAGUACAAAAAGCUUUGCUUGUGAACACUUUUAAACCAAAAUUUUUAAAGUAUCACAGAAAAGUAAAG
rnacentral:lncRNA from 1 species